AGAGUUUGAUCCUGGCUCAGGACGAACGCUGGCGGCGUGCUUGACACAUGCAAGUCUACGAGAAAGAGGUAGCAAUAUCUCAAGUAAAGUGGCGCAAGGGUGAGUAAUAUGUAAGUAAUCUACCUAUGGGUUCGGAAUAACGUCGAGAAAUCGGCGCUAAUACCGAAUAAUGCAGCGGCAUCGCAUGAUGAUGUUGUUAAAGUUGUCCCGACUUGUCGGGAUAACUCCUAUAGAUGAGCUUGCAUCUGAUUAGCUAGUUGGUAGGGUAAUUGCCUACCAAGGCUACGAUCAGUAGCUGGUCUGAGAGGAUGAUCAGCCACACUGGAACUGAGACACGGUCCAGACUCCUACGGGAGGCAGCAGUGAGGAAUAUUGGGCAAUGGACGGAAGUCUGACCCAGCAACGCCGCGUGGAGGAUGAAUGCCGUA
rnacentral:rRNA from 1 species